rnacentral:rRNA from 1 species
CCUACGGGAGGCAGCAGUAGGGAAUCUUUCACAAUGGGCGAAAGCCUGAUGGAGCAACGCCGCGUGCAGGAUGAAGGCCUUCGGGUUGUAAACUGCUUUUAUAAGCGAGAAAUAUGAUGGUAACUUAUGAAUAAGGAUCGGCUAACUACGUGCCAGCAGCCGCGGUCAUACGUAGGAUCCGAGCAUUAUCCGGAGUGACUGGGUGUAAAGAGUUGCGUAGGUGGCAUAAUAAGUAGCUAGUGAAAUCUGGUGGUUCAACCAUUCAGACUAUUAGCUAAACUGUUAAGCUCGAGACCGGUAGGGGUAAGUGGAAUUUCUAGUGUAGGAGUGAAAUCCGUAGAUAUUAGAAAGAACACCGAUAGCGUAGGCAGGUUACUGGGACGGUUCUGACACUAAGGCACGAAAGCGUAGGGAGCAAACGGGAUUAGAUACCCUUGUAGUC